CCUACGGGUGGCAGCAGUGAGGAAUAUUGGUCAAUGGACGAGAGUCUGAACCAGCCAAGUAGCGUGAAGGAUGACUGCCCUAUGGGUUGUAAACUUCUUUUAUAUGGGAAUAAAAUGCUCCACGUGUGCGCUUUUGUAUGUACCCUAUGAAUAAGGAUCGGCUAACUCCGUGCCAGCAGCCGCGGUAAUACGGAGGAUCCGAGCGUUAUCCGGAUUUAUUGGGUUUAAAGGGUGCGUAGGUGGGUUGUUAAGUCAGUUGUGAAAGUUUGCGGCUCAACCGUAAAAUUGCAGUUGAAACUGGCAGUCUUGAGUACAGUAGAGGUAGGCGGAAUUCGUGGUGUAGCGGUGAAAUGCUUAGAUAUCACGAAGAACACCGAUUGCGAAGGCAGCUCACUGGACUGCAACUGACGCUGAGGCACGAAAGUGUGGGUAUCAAACAGGAUUAGAUACCCGGGUAGUC
rnacentral:rRNA from 1 species